rnacentral:lncRNA from 13 species
ACAUAAGACCAGGACAACUGUCUUGGUGAAUGUUGCCCAGAUCCCUCUCUUUAUGAUGUCCUCUUUAUGAUGUCUCUUUAUGAUGUCCUUAUGAUGAUCCCAGUUCCACUGGGAUAACUCAGAUUGGUUCAGCCCAAAGUACCCCCAGAUACCUCAGUAACACAUAAAAUAUAACUUUGUCCCCUAAUGGGAAAGAAUAGGAGAUUUCUAUGCCAACCAGAAGAUGGAUGGAUAUCAAGACGGACAGUGGAAAAGUUAUGAGAAAGUGAUGAAACAGAGCAGCAGGAUCAAAACGAUGUCAGCAUCAAUACUUUCAGGAUGAGCAUCUGUGGCCUGAAGAACAUUCCAGAGACAACAGUGGAGCCUUCUUUGAAGAACUUCCGCAUUACCGACAUUCUUGAUGCCAGGCCAGAAACAUCACCAGUGAGUGUGACACGGUGAUGCAAAAUGCAUUAAGCUUUU